rnacentral:rRNA from 1 species
ACGUCCAUACCAUGCUGAAUAUAACGGUUCUCGUUAGAUCACCACCGAAGUCAAGCAUCAUUGGGCGCGGUCAGUACUUUGGUGGGUGACCAUCUGGGAACACCGCGUGCCGUU